rnacentral:rRNA from 1 species
AUACGGAGGGUGCAAGCGUUAAUCGGAAUUACCGGGCGUAAAGCGUACGUAGGCGGUUUAUUAAGUCAGAUGUGAAAGCCCCGGGCUUAACCUGGGAACUGCAUUUGAAACUAGUAGACUAGAGUAUGGUAGAGGGGGGUAGAAUUCCUAGUGUAGCGGUGAAAUGCGUAGAUAUUAGGAGGAAUACCAGUGGCGAAGGCGGCCCCCUGGACCAAUACUGACGCUGAGGUACGAAAGCGUGGGGAGCGAACAGGAUUAGAAACCCCAGUAGUCC